GCGCUGGCCUGGAAACCGUGGAGCUGAGAGGUGUGCUGGAGGGUUAAGCAGUGAGAGACUUCGGCGGCCAUGGCUCCCAACGUGACCGCCUCCGAACCGGCCCAAGAGGGUCCUAAAGGCAUCCGGGCCGUGCUGCUGGGGCCGCCCGGGGCCGGCAAAGGUACUCAGGCACCCAGAUUGGCUGAAAACUUCUGCGUCUGCCAUUUGGCCACUGGGGAUAUGUUGAGGGCCAUGGUGGCUUCUGGCUCAGAGCUGGGAAAAAAGCUGAAGGCAACUAUGGAUGCUGGGAAACUGGUGAGUGAUGAGAUGGUCGUGGAGCUCAUUGAGAAGAAUUUGGAGACCCCUCCAUGCAAAAAUGGUUUUCUCCUUGAUGGCUUCCCUCGGACCGUGAGGCAGGCGGAAAUGCUUGAUGACCUCAUGGAGAAGAGGAAAGAGAAGCUCGAUUCUGUGAUUGAAUUCAGCAUCCCAGACGCUCUGCUGAUCCGGAGAAUCACAGGAAGACUGAUUCACCCCAAGAGUGGCCGUUCCUACCAUGAGGAGUUCAACCCCCCGAAGGAGCCCAUGAAAGAUGACGUAUGUAAACUAAGGACAGGAAACUUCUUGCCUUCACCUUUCUUCCUUUGCUUUUUUCUUUUCUUUUUUUUCUUUUUUCCCUCCUUGGUCAUCUCAUCUUCUCUUUAUUCCUACCAAUAUAACUUAACCAUGAGAAAUAUCACUGUCAUGUCAAUCACAUGGGCAGUGGCUCAUCUGUCCAGUGUUUCUCCAAGUGGUUUAUUGUCUGACCUUGAACCAGUGCUAGCUACUGCCCAAUGCCCAGUUUGUGCCUGUCUUUUAUUCAGAGCAGCCCCUUUCUGUCAUCAUGGCAACCUAAAUGGUCAACAAGUCAGGAGAAAGUGGAAGCCCCAAAUUAGAGCUGGGGUGGGGAGAAUAGUACUGAGGAGAGGUUUGUUCACCAGUCCUGUUUCAGAAAAAUACCCUCUCCCUCUAGCGAUGCUGCUGUGCCAUCCAGAUUCGGAAGCACUUGGCUGGAUUAACAUUACCAAGUUCCUGUGACAAUCUUCAAUUGCUUGCAGAUGUGAAAGGGAGGGUCUCAUACAUAUUCACGGUAACAUUUGCCGUAAAGAGUCCGGUUGUCUGUUUUAGAGCAAAUAAGAAUUUCCUGCAUUUACCUUUGUCAUAUGAGACAAGUUCAUCAGGUCACAUAGGUUCCAAAGCCAUCUGUCAACUUAGUCACGUUUCACAGAAUCGGUAUUCUACCACUCAGCGUUCUUUCUCACUUUACUGCUGCUUCCAGAAUGUCGAUGGCUGACACCAUCACAAAAACACUGGAUACUUAGGCAGCUGAGAUCCUACGUGCUAAGGCAGCUCUGCUUUUGACGUAUUCUCCUAGACUCAGGGGCCUCCAUCUUUCUCGUUUCCCACCCUAGAAGUAUUUGUCUUGGAAGCCGAAUAGCCUGAUCACAAGCUGUGAGAGAAGGACAUUGCCCGUGCCCCGCUCUCAGCCCUUUCCUCUCAGUUGUUGUUUCAGGCUCCCUGAGUUCCCUGGACCAGGUGGUCUCCUGGGACCAACUUGCUACAAGCACAGAAGUCCUUUAUUGGAGAGGGUUUAGAUUUUCUGUCUCUCCCUCUGAUGGUCUUCAUGAUCAGCCAGCAUCUCAAAUCUGCAUGUGGCAUCAGAUAAGGAGACCUUGCUAAGAGUCCCGGCCUUUCAUCACCCUCUUCCUGUUCUCAGAUCACCGGGGAACCCUUGAUCCGCCGAUCAGAUGAUAAUGAGAAGGCCUUGAAAAUCCGCCUGGAGGCCUACCACACUCAGACUACCCCGCUGGUGGAAUACUACAGCAAACGGGGCAUCCACUCUGCCAUCGACGCAUCCCAGACCCCUGAUGUCGUGUUUGCAAGCAUCCUAGCAGCCUUCUCCAAAGCCACAUCCUAGUAACAGAAGGCCAGGCGAGACUGCACCACUGCUCAUCACCCCGCGGCGUGAUUCCUGCUCUUAGGUGCUGGGCAGAAGGGAGGGGUGCGCAGGGUAAGGGUGGAGAGGGAGGAGUGCUGAGGGCUCAAGAGGAGGAUGGGAAGAGCCCCAGGUGGUAGUGAAGCGAUUUCUUUUACAUAGAGUAGGAAUCUUAAAAAUUAGAAACAAAGGGAAAAAUUAAUUUUUUAAAACAUGGAUUGGAAGGUGUAAGUAGAAACAGGGAGUUGCAGUAUUAUUUCUAAGGAAUCAUGUUUUCAUGUACUCUGGACUGGUGACAAUGUUUUUUUAAAGCCAGUGUCCUAAGACCUCACUUUUAUCAGACCUCAUGCCAGCCCAGGAAUGCAGGCCAUCACACUGCUGUCCUGUCUGUCCUGUAGCUUGGAACAGGGCAGGAGCCGACUGCUCACCCUGGUUCCCCACACUGUGAGACCAAGAAAUCAUCUCCGCAUUUGAAAAAGAUACGGGUGUUUUCCUGGGGCCGGUGGCUCAGCAAAUCAGGUUUACUGGGGUCAUGGGGCAGGAGGGGCAGGCUAGUCUCACUCCCUUCCUGACUCACCUGCCCACCUGCUCUGGCGGGUAAUCUCUCUGCCACCACCCAGCAUGUGCCACGAUCCUACACUCUUGCCUUCCUCCAUCCAUGAUGUGUGAAGGGACUCCUUUUAAUAAAUGAACAAGUGUCCUAAGCAACAUUAUCCAAAGAUCGUCCUUUCCAUCCUCAAAUCCUGUGACUGGGAUCACUCGACAGCACUGUGAUGUAUUAUUUUCAAUGAGGUGCCUUUCUUACCGGUCCAAAUGCUGCCUUGUUUGGCCCCUAAAUUAAUAAAGCGUGUUAAAAGUUUGUAUCCCCUGUUGUGGCAUUUUUAAAGGGGAUCCUGGCUAGUAAAAGGACGCUGAAUUCUGGGUCUGACUUGGAAGCCCUCUUUUGUGGUCACUAGAAGCCGUGGGAUAGAAGGUCCAAGCAUGUGUUGUUAAGAAGAGCCUGUACCCUCUUGACCUUGAACUCAUGCAGCAUUUUCUUGAGCCUAAGGACAAGGCAGCUUGGGUCCAGUGAAGAUAGCACUGUGCCUGGAGUUCAGGGGACGUACAGCGAAUCCCAGCCAACCAUUUACGCUGCCCCUGUUUCCUCAUCUGAAAGAGAGACCGCUGACGCCACCUUCUCAGACUUGUUGGCAAUAAAUAAAGUUUAGAAAAAGCAGCUUUUUCUUGGUGCCUGGCACACAACAGACACUGGAUAAAUGCUAUGGGGAUCUGAAUAUACACAGAAUAAUAGCUGCUUCUGCCAGGCUGGAUGAUUGUUGAGCAGACAGCUGUCCACAGCCUAGAAAGCCAGGGCUUCUAAUGCCUGAGCCAGGGUUUGGUUUUUCUUUUGUUUUGUUUUGUUUUUUUAAUGUGUUUUGUUGUAUAGUUCUAAGCCAGAUUUUUGGCUGCCUUUUCAGCUGCCUCUUUAAUACUCUUGGUUGCUUCUUUUUAAAUCCAUUUCUUUCCCUGCAAAAAUGAGCUUAAAUCAUUUGUCCUAACUGAAGCUCUCAUGCUCUUUGGAAGGGCGGCCUUUGCCAAUGAGGUUUCUGAGAAAUGGCUGCUGUUCCCGAAAACAGGGAGCUGGGCUGGAAGCACGGUCAUUCUUCAGGCCCUCUUGCUCCGGAGAGAGGCAGAGUUGUCACUGGCACAUGAAAUCCUGCCCCUCUUCUGCUUUACCACUUCCCCUCCCUCUGCAGAGUCAUUUGCAGGUAUCAUUUUUCAGUGCCUUACUUGCACGGAUCUUUUCAUCCUCUGAGCUGUUUAAAUGCUCCAUGAAAAUUUUCUUCCCUUCCUUGAUCACCAUGAAGCAACCUGAGAGAAAUCUCUGUCAGACCAGCCUGAGAGGACGCAUGGCAUGGUCUGGUUGGAAAGGAUAAACUGAAAGAAGACCCAAUGAGCUAGGAAUGCUCACUCACUUCUUUGGGCCUGGUCUCCUCGUCUGGAAACCAAGGUUAGAUGAGCUAAGAGUCACCACCUUUCCAGGAGGACUGAUAGGCCAGGUAUUGUGUUGUGUUGUGGGCGCAGCUCUGCCCCCACCACCUCAAUUGACCCCCCACAAAACACCCUAGGCAGUUGGAGCUGUCAUUCUUUUUUUUUUUUUUGCUUUUUAGGGCCACGCCCACAGUAUAUGGAAGUUCCCGGGCUAGGAGUCGAAUUGGAGCUACAGCAGCUACACACCUACACCACAGCCACAGCAGCACCAGAUUCUUAACCUACUGAGCAGGGCCAGGGAUCAAACCCAUGUCCUCAUGGAUACUAGUCGGAUUCGUUUCCACUGAGCCACAACAGGAACUCCUGGAGCUGUCGUUCUAUCACAGGCGAGGAAACCAAGCCUCAGAGUAUGGUGGUCACAUUCCUAAAGGCACCAUAAGAAGUAGAGCCGGGACUCAAAUGGUUACUGAGACCAGUCUGUCCCCUGGACCUUGUUGCUCAAGUGACAAGUGACUUAGCAGUGCAGCAGCAGAAAGGGCCCUUCCAGAUGGGUUCUUUCUGGUGGGCACCCACACUGCCAGAAGUGAUUUGGGAGAAGUCACCGCCAGUCUGAAGACCCGGGGCAUGUGUCCUAGGAUGCCGUAUGCACGAAGUAUUGCAGACAGGACAACGGUGAAGAGCAGCCUCCGUCCUCAGCAAGCCUCACCAGCCUUUUCUCGGAAGACAGCUAAAUGAGCCAGAAAGCGGGUUGCAGCAGCAACUCCACCCUGAGACCUCCGGCAAGUUACUGCACCUCAUCAGUUAAAUGGGAACAAUCCCCACCCCUCAGGUGUACUGAUGACACUGGUGACAUGCAGGCUUGAGCCAGGGUCCCUGGCCCACAGCAGGUGCUCAACACAUGCUGAUGCAGUUCAGAGAAAACAUGGGCUGUGGCAAGAGCUGUCGUCUCCGGACUCGGGAACCAGCCUAGGCUAAAGAUUCUUAACUUGAAGAUCUCCUAGAAGUCUGUGGCCCUCUGAAAUUGUAUGCAGAAUUCUUUAUUUUUGUAUUUUCAAAAUUAAUAAUAGAUAAACAUUUAAUGCU